UCCCGGCCAUCGUCCGGUCUUCUUCUUGAGAGCAGGCCGGCCUUUGAAAUCCAGAGUUCCAUUCUGCGCAUACAAAGUUACAAGACUUUGGCCACUCCCGGGAGCUUUGGAGCCUGGAAAGCUACAAAGGUCAUUCUUCCUGUUCAGAGAAAGAAUGAGUGAGAUUUGAGCAACCAAACCAUUUUCGUGCGUACUUAAGGAGCUCGGUGUGAGUGAGUAUGUGAGAGUGUGUAGGGGGCCACAGUUGAAAUUUUUAUCCGCGUGGUCACCUCUGUGACGCACUUUAGUCCAGAGUUUCUUGAAGAAUUAAUGACAUCCAACCUCCUUUCUGGCC